UUUUCUUUUCCGAAACCCUAGAUCGGUUUCGUUUUCUUUUCCGGUUUAGUUGCCUAGAGACCGUUCGCCGGACCGUUCGCCCUAACGAACGUGAUCACCGGUUAUUCCCGGUUGACGAACGCCCGUUUGUUUAACCGUUCUUAUUUUUCUUUUCGUCGGAUUUAUUCCGCGAUCGCGAUCUCAGAUCCGAUCUUUGUUCUAGUUUAUCUUCUCGCUCGUUUAUCAGAAUCAGGUGAUUCAAGCGCCUGGAGUUUCGUUUCGAAACCGCCGUUCCAACUAAUCAACUUAAAUAAAUUUUUGCUACUGUAAAACUUGACCUAGUUUCAACUUGCUAGAACCGAGUUGUUUUCUUCCGCCGUUUGUUUUCCGUUGCUUUGUUCGGUUCUUUCUCUCUUUGCAACCGGAGUUCUUAAGUUGAACUAUCUGGUUCGAUCUCUUGUUCGAGUUUUACCUGUGCAUUGGAUGAGUACUUAUUGUAUGCUUGUUGUUUGUCUGCGAUAGAUUACCCGGAUUGCGCCGCCUGUUACUUCGAAUCUCUAGGACUCGCGGAUCAUCAGCAAGGCAAGUAACACUUUGAUCAUACCUUUUCUACAACCCAGUUUUAUUGCAUUAGAUCAAUCCUCACACAUUGCAUGAUUAUGAUCUAAUUAAAUUGUGAGAUGGGAAGUAGAUGAGGUAGUACCUAUUACCUGUUUAUUAUGAAACCUUUGGGAGUUACUUCUACGUUUGCUUAUUAUGCCAUGCUAUGCUAGUAGACGUGGAUUGGGUGAGUGAUAUCCAUGACAGAUGUGAGUGUGAUCAUUUUAAGGGUUUAUCUAAGGUGGCAACUUAAACACACAUCUGGGUGGACUGAGGCACCUGAUGUCUAUCAGGACUUGCCUGUUUUUCUUUGGACCGCCACCCAGGCUCAAAGGGAUCAUAAGAUCUUUCAUGCUAGAAACUUCCGUGUGCAGCCACAAGCUAAUAUGGGCUCUGUCAUAGUUGAUUAAGUCGUGCGAACUCUUACAGGGUAGACUAGCAGAUGUAGGGGAAAGUAGGUGUACCGGUCUAUCCAUCGUAAGGUGCUAGCGCUUCUGAAAGACUGUGUCUCGGUCAUCCGUUUCUCAAACACCGUGUAGUGCGAGAAACCCAACGGAGGCAAUCGAGUCUUGUGGGGAAAAGUGCGCAAACCUCUGCAGAGUGUAAUAAACUAAUCAUGAUUAGCCGUGUCCCCGGUUAUGGACAUCUUGAGUAUCUAGUACUUGAAUAUCAUGUGAAUCUCAUCAUGUUACUUCUAAUUAACAUUGUUGGGUUUUAAUUGUUCACUUAAUUGGGAUCGGAAUGCUGUCAACCAUUCUCGAUGUUCAACUACCAUGAUAGUUAAAUAAAUUCAUUCCUUUGCAGUAGGGAAAAACCGGCUUUAUGCAAAACAGUAACCAUAGAGCUUUCCAUCAGCCAAAUAUGCAUAUAGUAUAGCUGUUUCAUUCCAUUACUCUCUAUGUGUUAAAUUGCCAGCAUAUUCCAUGUGCUGACCCGUUUUCGGGCUGCAACUUUCAUGUUGCAGACUUUUCAGACGACGAGUAAGGUGCUUUUAGGUCGUGGUUCUAUACUCAGUGAUGCCGUUGGAGUUGAUGGACCCAUUUAUCUUCCAAGUCUUCCGCUGUUAUCGAUAUUAGAUGGCCUUAAGCCAUAUUUAUUGUAAUAAGUUCUCUUUUGAGACACCGAUGUAAUAAGUGUGUGAUUGCUACUCUGCUAUAAAUCCUUCGAAGUACUGUGUGGUGUCAGCAUUACUGAUCCAGGGAUGACACCGGAGCACAGAGACUUGAUCCAUUCGGGUCGGGUCGCUACAC
rnacentral:lncRNA from 1 species